CCCCCCCCCCCCCUCCCCCCCCCCCUUUCUAUUCAGUGAACAGAAGCAUGAUGUAGGAAAUUUGUAUGCACAUUUACAGAGCUUGUAGAUUAAUGAGCUAACUCAUGAUUCUCUAAGAAGCUUAUUAGUAGGACGAAAGGUUAAAUGCUUUUCUAGACAAUUUUGGUGAUAGCAGUAUAACAUUGACUACUAUUAAACAAGAAGUUACUGGAUAUUGCUCUCUUAUGUUCUUUGUUUGAGUUUAGAUAUUAGAAAUUUUAAAAUUGUAAUAUAAUGUUUUGUUUACAUUUGUAAUAAUUCCAUAUUAAAAAUACUUAAUAAACCAUAAAUAACAAAAAAGAAGAUGUUAUAGUAGGUUUAUGUAGAUAUGUCAUAAAUUUGUUAUUGGUGAUGUCCAAUGCAACACAAUUUCUUUGUACAUUUUGCUAUAAGAAUCAUAUAUAAUGUAUAUUGUAUUUCUUACUUUGUUUAUUAUUUUACCAUAGAAAGGCCAUAUUUCCCCCAAAAAUUACGCAAAUGAGAGUAUAGUGGAGCACUACAACUUGAAACAAACUAAAAAGGGAGUUGCUAAUGACUUCAGAACAUUAUUUUGAGUUAAUUUUAGGAGGUAUAGACAAUAUUUCCAUUACUCUUGGAAGAGAAUUAUCAUUCUUUGAUCAGUCCUUAAUGUAACAGCCUCCUGUAAUAACAUGGCCACAUGGAUUAUAUCCAAACAUUGAAGAAGAGAAUUAUUAUUCUUUGAUCAGUCCUUAAUGUAAAGGUCUCCUGUAAUAACAUGGCCACAUGGAUUAUAUCUAAUCAUUGAAGAAGAGAAUUUUUAUUCUUUGAUCAGUCCUUAAUGUAAGGGUCUCCUGUAUUAACAUGGCCACAUGGAUUAUAUCUAAACAUUGAAGAAGAGAAUUAUCAUUCUUUGAUCAGUCCUUAAUGUAAGGGUCUCCUGUAAUAACAUGGCCACAUGGAUUACAUCUGAACAUUGAAGAAGAGAAUUAUCAUUCAUUGAUCAGUCCUUAAUGUAAGGGUCUCCUGUAUUAACAUGGCCACAUGGAUUAUAUCUAAUCAUUGAAGAAGAAAAUUAUUAUUCUUUGAUCAGUCCUUAAUGUAAGGGUCUCCUGUAUUAACAUGGCCACAGGGAUUAUAUCCAAACAUUGAAGAAGAGAAUUUUCAUUCUUUGAUCAGUCCUUAGUGUAAGGGUCUCCUGUAUUAACAUGGCCACAUGGAUUAUAUCUAAACAUUGAAGAAGAGAAUUAUUAUUCUUUGAUCAGUCCCUAAUGUAAGGGUCUCCUGUAUUAACAUGGCCAUAUGGAUUAUAUCUUAACAUUGAAGAAGAGAAUUAUCAUUCUUUGAUCAGUCCUUAAUGUAAAGGUCUCCUGUAAUAACAUGGCCACAUGGAUUACAUCUGAACAUUGAAGAAGAGAAUUAUCAUUCAUUGAUCAGUCCUUAAUGUAAGGGUCUCCUGUAUUAACAUGGCCACAUGGAUUAUAUCUAAUCAUUGAAGAAGAAAAUUAUUAUUCUUUGAUCAGUCCUUAAUGUAAGGGUCUCCUGUAUUAACAUGGCCACAGGGAUUAUAUCCAAACAUUGAAGAAGAGAAUUUUCAUUCUUUGAUCAGUCCUUAGUGUAAGGGUCUCCUGUAUUAACAUGGCCACAUGGAUUAUAUCUAAACAUUGAAGAAGAGAAUUAUUAUUCUUUGAUCAGUCCCUAAUGUAAGGGUCUCCUGUAUUAACAUGGCCACAUGGAUUAUAUCUAAUCAUUGAAGAAGAGAAUUUUUAUUCUUUGAUCUCUCCUUAAUGUAAGGGUCUCCUGUAUUAACACGGCCACAUGGAUUAUAUCUAAACAUUGAAGAAGAGAAUUAUUAUUCUUUGAUCAGUCCUUAAUGUAAGGGUCUCCUGUAUUAACAUGGCCACAUGGAUUAUAUCUAAACAUUGAAGAAGAGAAUUAUCAUUCUUUGAUCAGUCCUUAAUGUAAGGGUCUCCUGUAUUAACAUGGCCACAUGGAUUAUAUCUAAACAUUGAAGAAGAGAAUUAUCAUUCUUUGAUCAGUCCUUAAUGUAAGGGUCUCCUGUAAUAACAUAGCCACAUGGAUUAUAUCUAAACAUUGAAGAAGAGAAUUAUUAUUCUUUGAUCAGUCCUUAAUGUAAGGGUCUCCUGUAUUAACAUGGCCAUAUGGAUUAUAUCUAAACAUUGAAGAAGAGAAUUAUCAUUCUUUGAUCAGUCCUUUAUGUAAGGGUCUCCUGUAUUAACAUGGCCACAUGGAUUAUAUCUAAACAUUAAAGAAGAGAAUUAUCAUUCCUUGAUCAGUCCUUAAUGUAAGGGUCUCCUGUAUUAACAUGGCCACAUGGAUUAUAUCUAAACAUUGAAUUUCACAGUGUCAAGAUUGAACUGGAUUGUUGUUUUUUUUUCUAUCAAUACCUCAGCUUAUUGAAGGUUAAUUAAACCUCUUUCUGCUUAGCUUUUUGUAAGGGAUAGAAUGAAAUGGGUAUUUCAGUGUUUCAGAGUAUGGAUGCACAGAUUUUUUAAUGUUAGGUAAAUUCAUCUUAAGUAAAUAUUGUAGAAAACAUCUGAAAUUCAAAGGCUGAAAUUGAUGAAAAUUAUCUAUAUAUGCCAUUUUAUUUCCCUGAAAUGAAAAAAAGAAUCUAUCUUUUAUAUUUAAUUUCAACAGAAUAUCUGCCUGUUUUGUAUACUAAGUAUUGAGGUUAUUUUUAAAAUAAGGCAGCCUUUGCUAUUGAAAAUUUGUUUAUUUUAGCUGUAAAACUAUCUAUCUGCCUUAUGUUUCCUGUUCAGUUCAUAGGGUUACAUUGGCUUAUGUAAAUAAAUCAUAUCUUUCAAUGAAGGAGAAUAUUCAGAAUAAGUGAACUUGUCUUUAUUUACUUAAAAAACGAACUUUUAUCAUAGUCUAUUCAUUUAGAAAUAUUCUUUUAGGAAAGAAAAAGGUUAUUUUUAACUAAAAAGGAGUGAUACAUUUAAUUAAUAUCUGUUUAAAGAAAGAAAAGUACACAAUAGAUAAAUAAUUAUAGCAUGAAAUGAAUAAAUAAAUAGCAGCUGCUUGAAAUGAUGAACCUUCCAGCAAUAAACCUUACUUUCAAUGCUCAAUUCUUUUGU